rnacentral:lncRNA from 1 species
AUUCUAUAGUUCAGUAUCUGCUGUCAUGGAUGAAUGCCAUAACAUCCAGUUUGACAUUCAGUAAAUCCUGUAUUAGCUAAUCCUGCAGCAUACUACUCAAGCAUGUCAUGACAUCAGUCAGGACAUCAGAGUACAAUUAGUGUUUUAACACAAAAUGCAGCCAAUCAAAAACAUCUACAAAGAUGAUGCAAAUGCUCAUUUCCUC